rnacentral:rRNA from 1 species
GUAACGGGGAAUUAGGGUUCGAUUCCGGAGAGGGAGCCUGAGAAACGGCUACCACUUCCAAGGCAAGGCAGCAGGCGCGCAAAUUACCCAAUCCCGACACGGGGAGGUAGUGACAAUAAAUAACAAUACGGGGCUCUUUCGGGUCUCGUAAUUGGAAUGAGUACAAUUUAAAUUCCUUAACGAGGAACAAUUGGAGGGCAAGUCUGGUGCCAGCAGCCGCGGUAAUUCCAGCUCCAAUAGCGUAUAUUAAAGUUGUUGCAGUUAAAAAGCUCGUAGUUGAAUUUCGGGAUUGACGUGAUGGUCAUGCCUUAAGGGGUAUGAACUGUUGCUGUUGAUUUCUCCCUUCUGGAGAACCUUGAUGUCCUUUAUUGGGUGUCUCGGGGAACCAGGACCUUUACUUUGAAAAAAUUAGAGUGUUUAAAGCAGGCAUUUUGCUCGAAUACAUUAGCAUGGAAUAAUAGAAUAGGACGGCAUGAUUCUAUUUUGUUGGUUUCUAGGAUCACCGUAAUGAUUAAUAGGGAUAGUUGGGGGCAUUAGUAUUCAAUUGUCAGAGGUGAAAUUCUUGGAUUUAUUGAAGACUAACUACUGCGAAAGCAUUUGCCAAGGAUGUUUUCAUUAAUCAAGAACGAAAGUUAGGGGAUCGAAGACGAUCAGAUACCGUCGUAGUCUUAACCAUAAACUAUGCCGACUAGGAAUCAGACGAUGUUAAUUUUUUAAUGACUCGUUUGGCACCUUACGGGAAACCAAAGUGUUUGGGUUCCGGGGGGAGUAUGGUCGCAAGGCUGAAACUUAAAGGAAUUGACGGAAGGGCACCACCAGGGGUGGAGCCUGCGGCUUAAUUUGACUCAACACGGGAAAACUUACCGCGUCCUUACAUGG